rnacentral:rRNA from 1 species
GAUGAACGCUGGCGGCGUGCCUAAUACAUGCAAGUCGAGCGAACAGACGAGGAGCUUGCUCCUCUGACGUUAGCGGCGGACGGGUGAGUAACACGUGGAUAACCUACCUAUAAGACUGGGAUAACUUCGGGAAACCGGAGCUAAUACCGGAUAAUAUAUUGAACCGCAUGGUUCAAUAGUGAAAGACGGUUUUGCUGUCACUUAUAGAUGGAUCCGCGCCGCAUUAGCUAGUUGGUAAGGUAACGGCUUACCAAGGCAACGAUGCGUAGCCGACCUGAGAGGGUGGUCGGCCACCCUGGAACUGAGACGCGGUCCAGACUCCUACGGGAGGCAGCAGUAGGGAAUCUUCCGCAAUGGGCGAAAGCCUGACGGAGCAACGCCGCGUGAGUGAUGAAGGUCUUCGGAUCGUAAAACUCUGUUAUUAGGGAAGAACAAAUGUGUAAGUAACUAUGCACGUCUUGACGGUACCUGAUCAGAAAGCCACGGCUAACUACGUG